AGGGCUAUUUGUCUACAGGCAGGGCUUAUCUUCCCAUCUCUGGCCCUGCUCAGGGAGGGAGUUCCAGGCUCUCUGGAGAGGGGGAACCUGCCGGGAUCCCGAUGGAUGGAUUCGCUGUCUCCAAGGAAACGCUGUCACCGCGCAACGCUGCCGCCGCUGUCACCUUAGGAGCUAUUGUUACCAACCUCUUAAGCACAUCAAACAAAUUCCUGGGCUGAUCCAGCUGGUAUCAGUGAGCUGGCUCUCCAGAAGGUGCCUAAAGAUAGGUUGGUGAUACCUGUAGCAGGAUACGUGAUCAUCCAGCUGAAUCUCUGGUCUGCACGCGCCGGCCGCUCCACUUUCAAUUCCUUUCACGGUUUUGCCCGCUUGAAGUUGGUAUUUUUGUUGCCUAAAAGAUCUCCUGCUUCAUUAGUGGCUUGUUAAAUGCCUUAUUAGUGUAUCUAUCUGUUGGAUGAAAAGAAAAUACUUAAAGAGGGUCAGGUUUUAUGUAAUGUUCAGGAAGGUUUUUUAUGGGCACCUGUUCGCUCUGUUGGGUGUUCUUGCCUCAUUUGAAUGUACUCAGCCAUUUUAGGAACCUCUUCUAGGCUUCCUUCUUCAGGUUUGCAGCCGAGAAUGAGAACAAGAGAUUCUUCUCUUGGUGGGAACCAACAGGCCAGGUCACUACAAAGGCUGAUCAUUAUAAGGUCGUUCUAUACAGAAAGGUCUGUGCUUUCCCCAAUGGUUGCUGAAGGCUCCAAAACCUUCUCUCAGAAAUUCUGCUGGCAAAUUUCACCGUGCCAGGAAAACAGAGGGGAAUCAUUGUAAUUAGAGAAUUUCAGCUCCAUGCUCAGGCAUUCCGUGGUUCCAAAUGUUGAACUGACAGAUCAUUAUGUGAAAUUUAACAAAGUAGUCAUUCCACCCAGGUUUCAUUAAAACUUUAUGUGCUAAGAACUGAGUUUAUUACUGGGUGGGCGAGGACAGGGUUUUAAGAGAUUCAUCAGGUCACUUGAGAGAAUAAUUUCUCUGUCUGCUAAGAAUAAAGAAAUUAAUAUCUAAAUCA
rnacentral:lncRNA from 1 species